GCGACGGUGCUGAAAUUGGUAGACAGGCUGGUCUCAGAAGCCAGUGUCCGCAAGGACGUGAGAGUUCAAGUCUCUCUCGUCGCA
rnacentral:tRNA from 1 species